UACCAGGCUCUCCCACACUAGCAGUGCCAGAUCAUCGCCGUACUCUUGUACGACAACCACUAUUCGCUGCCGGUGAUCUCAGCCACAGUCUGUCCUUGGAACUCUGCCAAGUUUUGUCUCUACACCCAUUGCCACGCUACACGAGCUAGCUGCCUCACCUACCCUGCCAACCUCACCUCCGGAGUCUGCCGCCAAUCGGAUCCAACCCACCAUCUCCACGGGUCCACAGCCUGGACGGUUCAGUUCCACUCCACCAGACUAGAACCGGCCUCAUCAGUCUCCCUCCAGAACGUCACCGCUCCUUCCUCGACCCAGACCGGUCGAGUCCUCUAAAGUGACCGUGAACUUGAUGGUGAACUACGUCAGACUUCUGCACAGAUAUCAAGCACUACUUCUUAAUAAAUCUGUUGCUAAGAUACCCAG